GGCCAGGUGUAGGUUUUAUGCCUCUCUCUGUCUCUUUGCAUCCAAGGGGUUGGGUCAGUUCACCCAAACAACUGUGACCUGCCAGUGAGAAGAGAUGGUUCCCUAAAGAGAACACAGAUGAUUUAAAGCACACAUUUUGUUGACUGCCUUUUCUUACCGAGAAAGUCUAUGUGCAGAAAUUGAAGGUGAUAGAAAAGAAGAAGAAGCCUGGUUCUUGUUACAGAAAUGGAGCUGUGGAUGGGAAAAGGACAGGAACCAAUAGAGUGGAGCUUGCAAAUUGGGCCAGAGUGGAAUUGUUCAGACCUUAGCGACGAUGAGAGGUCACCGUUCUCUUUUUCAGCAUCCUCCUGUCUUUCUUCCUCUCUCCCCAACAUCUCAGGCAGCUUUGAGCCUCUCCUCCAAGCAAGUGACUAAGAGACAGAUAUUUCAAGAAUAUUGUAUUGAAGGUGUGCCAAAUGAUUAGCCUCUACAUGAUACUGAAGAGUCUUAAGUCUGCGCCUCUGGAGAGCCCAAAAGGGAGACAGGUUUCUUCUGCAAAGACUCAUCUAUGAUCCCUGUUGUAAGUUAUUAGUUUAAUGAAUACUUGCUGAGCAUCCAAUAUGCUAGGAUAUUGUGUUAGGUGCUGGGGACACUCUCAAAGCUCCUUAGUCAAAACCCUCCAGUCUACAGACCUCUCCUUUGAGCCAGUGGCCCAUGUGACCUCCUUCCUUGGAAGGCCUCACCCUCAGCACAUUCCAACUGAAUCACUGCUCCGUUCCAAGCCUCCCAUUCCUUCUGGAUCCUUUCCUGGUGAGGCAGCACUAGCUACCCAGAUCUGUAAGCCACAAAUGACCUUCUGCCCCAUGGCAUCUGAUCCAUCCUCAAAUGUUGUCCAGGCUCACCCCUCAAAAAUAUCUACUGCUGUCCACCAGCACUGCCACCACCUCAGUUGCAGCCACCAUCCUCUCUCCUGGACAACCACUGUAGCCUCCAAAAGGUACUCCCGCAUUGGUUCAGUUGUCACACAGAGAGAACUUAACUCUUUCCUUUCCUCCACUUUUAAAAGCCUCUGGGUUUUUUGUUUAUCUUUGGAACAAAAUAAAAGUCUUUGGUUCCAGCCCCUACUUAGCUAAUUUCUUCAUCUCUCCUCUUCUUCCCUUUGUAUGUGGAUAUGAAGCUGGGGAAAUAAGUGAAUGUCUGGACUCCAGGCUGUGACAUUGGUGACUUUGGGGUGUGAGGCUGGGGAUGAGAAAGGAGGUGGGUAGAGGGAGAUUUUUCUCAUGUAUCUUUGAACUGUUUCACUGGCUAUAGUGAAUACAAGUUAACUCUGUAAUAUUAGCAAAGAAAAUUAAUAAAGUAUGCUUACAUAUUGUCC